rnacentral:rRNA from 1 species
UACAGAGGUCCCGAGCGUUGUUCGGAUUCAUUGGGCGUAAAGGGUGCGUAGGCGGCGGGGUAAGUUUGAUGUGAAAUCCCGGGGCUCAACCCUGGAAUUGCAUUGAAUACUACCUUGCUUGAGUACCGGAGAGGAAACUGGAAUUUACGGUGUAGCAGUGAAAUGCGUAGAGAUCGUAAGGAAGACCAGUGGCGAAGGCGAGUUUCUGGACGGUAACUGACGCUGAGGCACGAAGGCCAGGGGAGCAAACGGG